CCUACGGGAUGCUGCAGUGAGGAAUUUUGGUCAAUGGACGAAAGUCUGCACCAGCCAUGCCGCGUGCAGGGAGACGGCUCUAUGAGUUGUAAACUGCUUUUGUACAAGGGUAAACCUGAAUACGUGUAUUCAGCUGAAAGUACUGUACGACUCAGGAUCGGCUAACUUCGUGCCAGCAGCAGCGGUAAUACGGAGGAUCCAAGCGUUAUCCGGAUUUAUUGGGUUUAAAGGGUGCGUAGGCGGAAUGAUAAGUGAGGUGGUAAAUGUCCGAGCUUAACUUGGGAACUGCCUCUAAUACUGUUGAUCUAGAGAGUAGAUGCGGUAGGCGGAAUGUAUGGUGUAGCGGUGAAAUGCUUAGAGAUCAUACAGAACACCGAUUGCGAAGGCAGCUUACCAAGCUAUAUCUGACGUUGAGGCACGAAAGCGUGGGGAGCAAACAGGAUUAGAUACCCGGGUAGUC
rnacentral:rRNA from 1 species